CCUAGAGGCAGCGCCUCUUCUUCCAAACGUGAAAACUCUCACCUUUUUUUUUUAUGAAAACUGUAUUCUCUCUCUCGCUCAUUCGAAGAAAAAACAGAGUAAAACUCUCCACUCUCUCGUAGCCCUCGAUCACUCUUCUCAUGAUUCUCAAUACUCUCUCGUGAUUCAGCCAUGGAUGAUUCAAACCAAAACAAGAACACGAACAAACAACAUUAUACCCUUAUCCCCGACGUAAAUCCCUAAAAUUAACCCCAAUCCACUAUUUUAUGAGAUUACAUGUUACAUGGAGGAAUUUAAAUGCAGAAAUUUAAACAACCUGAUGAAACGAAAAUCCGGUGUAAUUUUUGGACAGAUUGGAGCAGCUAUAGUGCAGGCUGGGUUUUGUUUUGUAUUGCAGAGUGGUGAAGAGGCAGCAACAGGGAGAACAACGUGGUCUUUGUUGUUUUGUAUAGGAGAACUAGUAAACUACCCGUGCGCCACCGGGUAAAUUUAUUUGAUAUUAUAUAUAAUAAUUUAUUUAGAUAUACUUACAAAUAUUGAAUGGUAAAUGUAAUUGUAUAAAUAAUAAUGAUAUUCGUGCGUUCACAUAGAUUAAAAUGAUUUUGUUUUGUGAAUUUGUACUUAAAUACACGUUGAAAACAAUGCUUAUCAAUGUUUUUUUUGCUUGAA